CCGCCCUUUCCCGGAAGCUGACAGUCAUCUGAUUUUCUUUCUUGCUCUUUUUUUUCCAGCGUCCUCGUUAGCUACCUCACCUCCAAGCAACCAAACAACUGUGAUACUUUAUUUCUCAGUCUUUUUCGACUUUCCGGCUUCUUCUCCGUACAACGAACUACACGAACUUCUCGCCAACCUCCAGAAUCAUGGACGAGACGAGUCCGCUUGUCUCUCCGCUCCGUGACUCAAAUGAUUUCAGCUACGGUCCGACAGAACCCACCAGCCCUCGGGGCGCCUUUGGAGGGACGCCGGGAUCGGUGGUGCGCAUCCCUGCCGGCAGUCCGAGUCGCAGUCGGGAGAGACAGCCUCUCCUGGACCGGGACCGCGGGACCUCACCGCGGGAACCGCACCGGAACGAAUUCCCGGAGGAUCCUGAGUUCAGAGAGAUCAUUCGCAAGGCCGAGCGAGCCAUUGAGGAGGGGAUCUACCCAGAGAGGAUCUACCAAGGAUCCAGUGGCAGCUAUUUUGUCAAAGACUCACACGGGAAAAUCAUCGGUGUGUUCAAACCUAAGAAUGAAGAGCCCUAUGGCCAGCUUAACCCCAAAUGGACAAAGUGGCUCCAGAAACUCUGCUGUCCCUGCUGUUUUGGUCGCGACUGCUUAGUUCUCAACCAGGGCUACCUCUCAGAGGCCGGUGCUAGUCUGGUGGACCAGAAACUGGAGCUCAAUAUCGUUCCGAGGACCAAGGUGGUAUACUUGGCGAGUGAAACAUUCAACUACAGUGCCAUAGACAGGGUGAAGUCUCGAGGUAAAAGACUCGCCUUGGAGAAGGUACCAAAAGUGGGUCAGCGCUUCCAUAGGAUUGGACUUCCUCCUAAGGUUGGCUCCUUCCAGCUCUUUGUGGACGGAUACAAGGAUGCCGACUUUUGGCUUCGUAGGUUUGAAGCCGAGCCUCUACCGGAGAACACUAACCGUCAGCUUCAGCUGCAGUUCGAACGCCUCGUGGUCCUCGAUUACAUCAUCAGGAACACAGACAGGGGAAAUGACAACUGGCUUCUCAAGUAUGACUGCCCUAUGGACGCUGUGGGGAACCGGGACACAGACUGGGUUGUAGUGAAGGACCCAGUAAUUAAGCUGGCAGCCAUAGACAAUGGUCUAGCCUUCCCUCUCAAACAUCCUGACUCCUGGAGAGCAUAUCCUUUCUACUGGGCAUGGCUCUCUCAGGCCAAAGUUCCUUUCUCCCAGGAAAUCCGAGAGCUAGUCCUACCAAAGCUCUCUGACCCAAAUUUCAUCAAAGAUCUCGAAGAGGACCUCUAUGAACUAUUCAAGAAAGACCCUGGUUUUGACAGAGGACAGUUUCACAGGCAGGUCGCUGUCAUGAGGGGGCAGAUUCUGAACCUGUGCCAAGCCCUAAAGGAUGACAAAACACCCCUGCAGUUGGUCCAGAUGCCCCCAGUGAUUGUCGAAACUGCCAGAGCCCCCCAGAGAGCCAAUAGUGAGUCGUACACGCAGAGUUUCCAGAGUAGAAGACCUUUCUUCACCUGGUGGUAAACAGAGCACGCACUGGGAGGAGGAACAGCAGGAAGCGAGAGAAGCGAGUACACGUUUUGUCUCCUGGAAAUGGAUUUCAUCGCCACCGUCCCCUCCUCUCCAAAUAGACAGUGCAAUUAAAAAAAGUGAGUGUGUUGGCUCGAGAGAUGAGGCAAAAAGGGGAAGAAGUUCACACUGUAUCUUCCUUUUUUGCCUUGGUGCCUUGUUUGGAUGUGAAGAAGUCUGAAUUCUUCUUUCUUGCAAAGAGACAUCAGGCUUUUCUAUUGGACUCUCCAAGGGACACGUGUGAUCGCCCACAUGUGCAUGCCAAUCAGUCAAAAACAAAAGUUGUCUAACUGAAAAUGGGAGAUGUCUCAUCCCACGUCGAUGCUUUCUUCAUGCCGCUCUGCCUUUUAACAUUCACCCGUAUAUUCACCACUCCCACAUGGUUUAAUUAACCGCACUGGUAUGGCCUACCAAUAAAAAGUCUUUAUUACGAUUAAGCCCCUUAAGGUUUAGGGAAAUGGACACACUGUGCACGUCAACACGGUGAGCACGAAAUGUGAAGCGGUUUCACAACUUGUAAUAGAUUCUCCCUACAGUUGACAUGAGCUUUUUCAAAGUCACGUAUGUGGGGUGACGAUGGAGAGCAGGCCUACCGGUCGGUAUGUGUGCUUAAAGGCGGCCUUGGUCGCGCUGAGAUAAUUCCUAGCCUAAUUAUUCCACUUUCACCACUGAAUUAGUUGACCAGUGAGGAAGGUAGAAUCACCCGGUCUGCAACUGCCAGAAGAAGCAAGGAGAUUGUUGUUGAUUCAUUGGCUUCUGCUAAUGGCUUCAUUUGCUUUUUUUUUUUUUUCUUACUUGUCAGGUGGAGCCGCAUAAAGUAACUUCCUGCUGUACAGAACUGACAAAUGUAUUGUGACAAUGCACUGUAUAAUUUGUAUGUAAUAUUUAAUAAUAGAUUAUAAUAAAAAAAAAUCUUCCAUUCA